AUGCAGCUCAGAGGCACAAAGUUGACCGUGACUGACGCUCAUCCUCCGACUCCCCCUGAGCUGGUCUUGUUGACCCCCUCCCAGGACCUCUCCUCUGGGGACAGGGCUACGGUGGUGUGUCUGGCUCAGGGCUUCUACCCUGACGGUGCCACCCUGACCUGGUCAGAGGAGGGCAAAGCUGUGGCGGGCACUGAGUUCCAGACGGGCGAGUCUCAGCGCCAAUCUGAUGGCACCUUCUCCCUCAGCAGCGUCCUGACGGUCCAGCCGGAACGCUGGCGCUCUGGACACACCUACACCUGUCAGCUGAGCCACUCCGCCCUCUCCAGCCCUCUGAGCAAGAGUGUGGCACACGGACAGUGCAGCUAGAGGCAGAGAGCAGGAGUCAGCUCAGAGGCAGAGCAACACAAAUGGGCUAUUUUUGCCUAAAUGCAGCCAUAGGAUUCUCUUCCAGAUAUGGCAAUCUCUUCUGUUCUUUGCAAACUACUUAAUAUCAAAAGCAACAUAGUACAAAUAUAAUUUCUGGAUUGUAUUUUAGUCAGUAUUUACUUCCUUUAAAUAUUUUGUGGCUAAUGUGUGUUAUUUGGUUGUUUUAUCAUGCAUUGUUGUUAAAAGAUCAUUCUGUUUACUUAAGAAUCUCAAUAAAGCAUUUUCAUGAAAA